UACGUAGGGUGCGAGCGUUGUCCGGAAUUAUUGGGCGUAAAGAGCUCGUAGGCGGUCUGUCGCGUCGGUCGUGAAAACCCGCGGCUUAACUGCGGGCUUGCGGUCGAUACGGGCGGGCUAGAGUUCGGUAGGGGAGACUGGAAUUCCUGGUGUAGCGGUGAAAUGCGCAGAUAUCAGGAGGAACACCGGUGGCGAAGGCGGGUCUCUGGGCCGAUACUGACGCUGAGGAGCGAAAGCGUGGGGAGCGAACAGG
rnacentral:rRNA from 1 species